rnacentral:rRNA from 1 species
GAUGAACGCUGGCGGCGUGCCUAAUACAUGCAAGUCGAGCGAACGCACGAUAAGCGCGUUUCCCUGCGGUUAGCGGCGGACGGGUGAGUAACACGUGGAUAACCUACUUAUAAUUCUGGGAUAACUUCGGGAAAACGUUGACAAUACUGGAUAAUAUUUUGUACGGCAUAGUUCAAAAGUGAAUGACGGUUUUGCUGACACUUAUAGAUGGAUCCGCGCUGCAUUAGCUAGUUGGUAAGGUAACGGCAUACCAAGGCGACGAUGCGUAGCUGAUCUGAGAGGAUGAUCAGCCACACUGGAACUGAGACACGGUCCAGACUCCUACGGGAGGCAGCAGUAGGGAAUAUUGCACAAUGGGCGAAAGCCUGACGCAGCAAUGCCGCGUGGGUGAAGAAGGUCUUCGGAUCGUAAAGCUCUGUUAUUAGGAAAGAACAGAAGUGUGUGAAUACGCGGCUGUCUUGACGGUACCUAAAGAAAAAGCACCGGCUAACUACGUG